AACGAACGCUGGCGGCAGGCCUAACACAUGCAAGUCGAGCGCGCCCUUCGGGGCGAGCGGCGGACGGGUGAGUAACGCGUGGGAACGUGCCCUUUGCUUCGGAAUAGUCCCGGGAAACUGGGGGUAAUACCGGAUACGCCCUUACGGGAAAGGAUUAUCGGCGAAGGAUCGGCCCGCGUUGGAUUAGCUAGUUGGUAGGGUAAAGGCCUACCAAGGCGACGAUCUGUAGCUGGUCUGAGAGGAUGGCCAGCCACACUGGAACUGAGACACGGUCCAGACUCCUACGGGAGGCAGCAGUGGGGAAGUAUUGGACAAUGGGGGCGAACCCUGAUCCAGCCAUGCCGCGUGUGUGAAG
rnacentral:rRNA from 1 species